rnacentral:RNase_P_RNA from 1 species
AUUUUUGGAUAAUCGCGUAGUAUUUUAAUACUAUGAGGAAAGUCCAUGCUAGCACUGGCUGUGAUGCCAGUAGUGAUUGUGCUAGGCGAACACAUAAGCCUAGGGAUGUGCAUACACAUUACGGCGAAGGAAAUGGCUAAGUCGUUUGAUAUGCCAAAGUACUUCUGAAAGUGCCACAGUGACGUAGUUUUUAUGGA